rnacentral:rRNA from 1 species
AUGCAGUCGAACGAUGAAGCCCAGCUUGCUGGGUGGAUUAGUGGCGAACGGGUGAGUAACACGUGAGUAACCUGCCCUUAACUCUGGGAUAAGCCUGGGAAACUGGGUCUAAUACCGGAUAGGAGCGYCYACCGCAUGGUGGGUGUUGGAAAGAUUUAUCGGUUUUGGAUGGACUCGCGGCCUAUCAGCUUGUUGGUGAGGUAAUGGCUCACCAAGGCGACGACGGGUAGCCGGCCUGAGAGGGUGACCGGCCACACUGGGACUGAGACACGGCCCAGACUCCUACGGGAGGCAGCAGUGGGGAAUAUUGCACAAUGGGCGAAAGCCUGAUGCAGCGACGCCGCGUGAGGGAUGACGGCCUUCGGGUUGUAAACCUCUUUCAGUAGGGAAGAAGCGAAAGUGACGGUACCUGCAGAAGAAGCACCGGCUAACUACGUGCCAGCAGCCGCGGUAAUACGUAGGGUGCGAGCGUUAUCCGGAAUUAUUGGGCGUAAAGAGCUCGUAGGCGGUUUGUCGCGUCUGUCGUGAAAGUCCGGGGCUUAACCCCGGAUCUGCGGUGGGUACGGGCAGACUAGAGUGCAGUAGGGGAGACUGGAAUUCCUGGUGUAGCGGUGGAAUGCGCAGAUAUCAGGAGGAACACCGAUGGCGAAGGCAGGUCUCUGGGCUGUAACUGACGCUGAGGAGCGAAAGCAUGGGGAGCGAACAGGAUUAGAUACCCUGGUAGUCCAUGCCGUAAACGUUGGGCACUAGGUGUGGGGACCAUUCCACGGUUUCCGCGCCGCAGCUAACGCAUUAAGUGCCCCGCCUGGGGAGUACGGCCGCAAGGCUAAAACUCAAAGGAAUUGACGGGGGCCCGCACAAGCGGCGGAGCAUGCGGAUUAAUUCGAUGCAACGCGAAGAACCUUACCAAGGCUUGACAUGUUCUCGAUCGCCGUAGAGAUACGGUUUCCCCUUUGGGGCGGGUUCACAGGUGGUGCAUGGUUGUCGUCAGCUCGUGUCGUGAGAUGUUGGGUUAAGUCCCGCAACGAGCGCAACCCUCGUUCAUGUUGCCAGCACGUMAUGGUGGGGACUCAUGGGARACUGCCGGGGUCAACUCGGAGGAAGGUGAGGACGACGUCAAUCAUCAUGCCCCUUAUGUCUGGGCUU